rnacentral:lncRNA from 1 species
CAGAGGUACAGACGUGGUGCAUAUGUCUAUAGUACAUGCUGUCCAUGUAUUUGAUCCAGUCGACAAAUGAAACUGAAUGCUAGAUUUACUGUGUUGAGAUAACCAUGGGGGUGGCGUUGCAAAAUCUUCUACUUCAAACUCUAGAAAAUCAUCACACAGAAAAUUCAUAAUCACAGGCCGGAAUAAUCCAAAGGGUCUCCAUAAGGACCAUAUUUGUAUCAAUCAUAUAUGCUAAAUGACAAAAUUCUUAUUAAGUCAGUGUUUUACUAGAAAUCGAAAACUGGAUCUACAUAGUUUCGCGAACAUUAAUGAUAAACAGUAAAGCUGCCCGUAGGCUUCAAGCAUAUGAAACUAGAAAUGAUCUGGAACUGCCAACAUCAAAGUAACAUGCAUGUCCCAACUCUCCCAAAAGGAUAUGAAACUCAGAAGCAUACAAAUUAAAACCAGUCUUUAAAUUUCCAAUUUGGUAGCUAAAAACGAAGAGAUCGUUCACACGAUUUCUUCCUAAUCACAAUUAGCGAGUUAAUUCUUUAGCCAAUUACACCUCAACCAUCCACGUGUAAAAUUUCAGCAAUUUUUAUGGGAAAAAACAUAGAAAGAAAGGAACUUGUACUUGUUUCCCAUGAAUUAACAGCUGUUAAACAACAAUUGACAUCCAAGUAUGCAUUUAAUUGAACCCAUGAAUCAAUUCACAAAAAGAUGUCAAAAAAUUUUU